rnacentral:rRNA from 1 species
GACGAACGCUGGCGGCGUGCCUAAUACAUGCAAGUCGAGCGAAUCAAUAGGAGCUUGCUCCUGUUGGUUAGCGGCGGACGGGUGAGUAACACGUGGGCAACCUGCCUGUAAGACUGGGAUAACUUAGGGAAACCGGAGCUAAUACCGGAUAAUCCUUUUCCACUCAUGUGGGAAAGCUGAAAGUCGGCUUCGGCUGACAAUUACAGCUGGGCCCGCGGCGCAUUAGCUAGUUUGUGAGGGAACGGCUCACCAAGGCGACGAUGCGUAGCCGACCUGAGAGGGUGAUCGGCCACACUGGGACUGAGACACGGCCCAGACUCCUACGGGAGGCAGCAGUAGGGAAUCUUCCGCAAUGGACGAAAGUCUGACGGAGCAACGCCGCGUGAGCGAUGAAGGCCUUCGGGUCGUAAAGCUCUGUUGUUAGGGAAGAACAAGUAUCGGAGUAACUGCCGGUACCUUGACGGUACCUAACCAGAAAGCCACGGCUAACUACGUGCCAGCCGCCGCGGUAAUAC